GUGAAAGGGUGCGGGGUGGGUCAGGGCUGCUUCUCUCUGGGCUGGCAGCGCCGGUAGCUUCCCUUCUCCUAGGAAGCUACAAAGCCUACUCCAUAGCCUUGAAAACCACUGCUGAGCGCUGUGUAGGAGGGAAGAGCACUGCUGUGGUUUAGGUUUGGCGGCUGUAAAAGAAUUAGCAAGAGUAGCAGAAACAGGAAAAGGGGGAAGGGCACUAGCCCUGUUCUUUAGCGGUAGCUGCUGCCCAGGGACAUCAGGAAUCUGUUCUUGUGCCAUGCUGCUUUGACUGCCUCCUCUCAGACUCACCUUGCUGCCCUGGCCCCCUUUCUUGUCCUUCGUCCCCAACCCCGUCUUUGCUUCUGUUUUGUUUCUGCAUCUGCUGUGUUUGCUGCAGAUGGCCUCUUAACACUGGAGGGCCCUUGGUUUGAGGUUCUACAAACAGUCCAUCCCCCACUGCCUGCAAAUGUAUUUGCCCUGCUCUCGAUUACUGAAUGUAAAACCCAGAGUUGAGCUCCCUGCACGGAGUGAGGAUUGGGACUGUCAAGAGUUCACUAUCAAAUAAAAGGGGCAGUGUAGACAGGAGGAACCCCAUGGUGGGAUGAGAACAAUGUUGCCAGCUUUCUUCCUUGCCCCAACAACCCCUGCUGUGGGGGCAUGGGAAAGGAGCAGAGCACGGUGCACUUUGCUCUGACCAGCCCCAUGGGAGCUCUUACUAGCUGGUCCAGUUCAGAGCAGGCCCCAGGCUGUUCUAAUCUCUGCUGGGACUGUGUAUAGCCAGAGCGGGAAGGGGCAGCCAGAGGAGACCCUGGGCUUUGAGAGAAUCAGCACUGCUCCACCUUAGCUCAACACCCUCACGCAAUGCAGCUUCUUGAGAAAAAUGGAGAGAGGAUGUCAGGGGAUGUGGUGCUGCUGCUGGUUAACUGUGUAUGUUCUGAGGGAUGCUGCGUAGCUGAAUUUCCCACGUGCUUUAGAAGUUGAGACGUGAAGAGGGCAGGAAAAAAAUGCUGGGGACCUUUUGCUUGGAAGGUGAUUGAACGUGAUAGUGAUGAGUGACAGAUCCCCUCUUCCAAAUAUGGGAUUUUAGCAGAAUGACAGCUGAGGGGACACUGGAAACCAAUGGGCACCCUUGUCUGAAGGAGCACAGAUGAUCAGUGAAAGCUAUCAGCUAUUUUGCCACCUGCACAAAGGCAGCAGCCACUGCUGGUGUCUGUCCAUGGGACAGGAGUAGGCCAGUGCCUUGAUGAUCCCUUCCUCCAGCAUGUGAGGAGAGCAUUUGGUGUCCUGGUCUGUUUUGCUGCUCUCUUCUCUGAGGUUGUGCCUGUGGUUUUCUAACCUGCCUUCCUUACCCUGAGCUUGUGGCAUGAGAUCCCUUCAUACUGAAAUGGCAACUGGAGGAUUGCAGGGGCCUGUCCUGUGAAAGGUGCUCAGUGUCAUCAGCUUCAGAUGAUGUCAGCAAGGUGAUUUUCCUCCCCCCAAAUACAAGCUGUGCAGAGGUUAAAAGGAAAUGUGGAGUGCCACUUUCUCAGUGGUCACCAGGACUGUGCAGGGGGAGAAGAAAAAAAGGGACCAAGUGCAAAUAUCCUUGGAGUCUGAAGGGCUUCUAACAUGAUGAAACCAAAGCGUGGUCCUGCUGUGGCCCAUCAGUGUCGGUGGUGGCUUAGGGAAGAGGCCAUCGCAAAGGAGCGUGACUCUUUUUAGCCUCGCUGUGUGGUUCGGCUCCUGAAUGCCCAGAUCACCCUGCAGUCGCGCACUUUCUUCCCUGGUGCUUGGCUAAUGGAGAGUGACAGCUCUUCAUGCCAGCUCCCAGGGAGGAAUCCAGCUGAGAGGUUGGCUGUGGCACUCAGCCCUGUUCCCACGAGGGAGCCUGCUUCACCUAUUUACAUCCCUCUCUUUGAUCUAGCUUUUGACGUGAAAAGACAUGUCAGCCAGGUAGAGGGAAACAAAACAGAAUGCAGCAACAGCUCCACAUCUCUCUCUGCUCGCACAUGAUCUGCUCCCUAGUGCACACCUGCUUCACAGCCACAGAUCCUUAUCACCCCUCUGAUUUCCUUGCUGUCAUCUCUGCUUUCCUUUCACUGUUGUAUAACUUCUAGAGGCAACUUCCUGCAUCUUGUUGCCUGCUCAUAAGAUCCUGUGGCAUCUUGGCCCCCUUUCCCUGGCAUUCCCCUUGUCUCUGAAAUAUAACCAGUAAGGGAAAUGCCCGCAUGCUUCCUCCUCGUUGCAUGCAGUGGCAGAGACGGGUGAUAAAUAUCUUCAUUUUCUGCCCUAAACUGUUGCACUGUUUCAGCAAGCAACUGUUGCAGCUCACUCUAGAAGUAGCUGCAAUUCAGCAUAGGUGAAUGCUGAGAGCAUAGGUCUCUACGUGCCUCUCUAGAAACAAGAUCUUUUCCUGCAGAGCAGCUUAGAACUUUUCAGGGUGAAAAGUAAAAUAAAAGUAUGAGUGUCUGCUGGGCCAGAGGCCUCAGAAACACUAGGAUACAGCAUUACUUGGCUUUUUUUUCUUUCCUAGAGAAAUAGAUGUUCUAAACUUGCUAAGAAAGCAAAUUUAACAUAGAAGAGUAUUGCUGAGAUGCAGCUAGUUCUGUGGUGGAGAUAACCACUAGCAACAGCUGCAGAAGAGUGUAGGAAGGGGAAACUCGAACAGAAAUGAGCUCUCACUUUUAUCAGCAGUUAAUUUUCUUGUGUGGGCAGUGUUCUUGGGUUUGUAAAGCUAGGCGUUCCUGAGUGACCCCUGGCUAUUUCAUAUGGCUUUCAGGUAGUAAACCUGGGCUGGAAUCCUCUGGUUCUGGAGAUGUCUGCCCAGUUUGAGGGCUGCAGUCCUAUGUGAACUGUGCUUCUGUGGGAUGGGACACAGUUUACAAGAGUUCUCUGCUUUAUUCAGGCAAGGAUGAUUCUCUGCUGUCAACAAAGAUCAUCUGAACUCCUGCUCUGAUGAUUUCUUGGGAAACUCUUGACACCCAGUGAGCCAGAUGAGAGCCAACUGACUGAAGAGAAUGCAUUUCAGGAGGAGAAUGAGAGCAAGAUCUCUGUGCAAAAGGAUUCCUUCCCUUGUGAGUGCCUAGUGAUAGCUUGGGAAGAGGACAGCGUCCAUGUACACACGUAUUCCAGGCAGAACAGAAACAGCUUCUUGGGUUGGUCAUCUGAGUCCACAACAACAUGACGGGCUCCCUUCCUGCUGUCCUACGUGUGUCCUCCCACUCUGCACCACAGCAGGUCGGCAGUGAGAGGUGACUUUUGGUGGCUUGCUGCUGCUGGUGACAGGGCUGGCACCCAGGUCCAGGUGAAACAGCGCUAGCCCUUCUCCACAUGCUUGAUGUUUUGCUGAGGCUGCCAUGAUGUAACCGUUCUAUGUCGAGAACAGCCAGUUCUGAGUCUGAACUGACUCAGUGCCGAGGAGCUUGUGAGAGUAUGGUUGCAAUCAGGACUCCUUCCCUGAUUGCAGGGAAGGGCCCUUGGAGCUGGGUGCUAUGCAGGGACAUCGCAAGGAAAGUCCCUGCCCCAACUAGGAAAACAAACAAGGUUGAGAAAAUAAACUGAGGCACAGAGAGGGGUGCUGACACCUUGCUGACCAUAUCUGCAACCCAACCAGUUGACUCUCGGAGCAAUGCUUUAUCUGUUAGGCAUCCUGCUAUGUCCUGCAGGAUUCAGGGCCCUCUCAAGCAAUGGGAAAGGAAGCAAAAGGAAAACAAAGGGCUUUUCCUGCUAACCCUUGUCACAGGAAGCCCUAUACUGUCUGAGGGAACCACCACCACUGAAUGUAGAGGAUCUGGCCUUGAGACUGUAUCAGAGCAGAGUGGAAGUUCAAGCAGAGGAAGUUCCCGUGCCUAUUGUCUCUUCUCCUCUACUGAUCCACGGUAAGGCCGCAAUUAAAGAUUAACUGCCUCCAAAUAAUAUUGCAGAGUUUACGUCUACCAACAUCGCCUCCUGAGCAGCAGGAUGUAGGCAGAGUUGACAGGCAACAAACAAGCAUCUGAGAAGCAGAAAGCAGAUGGAGGUACCUUCCAGUAAGGUAACAGUAGCCUUAACUCUGCCCUUCUGAGAAGACACACUCAACCCUCCCUGACAUAUUUUAACACUUCAAGCAUCUCAAUGCUGGGGGGUUCUUCAGAGACACAGCAUUGACAGCUGGAUGUUACAGGGCCUUGUGCAUUAAAGGCCCAGGCAAGGCAGCAGCAACAGCCUUGUAUAAUACAGAAAAACCUGACAGAUCCAUGCAUAACUUUCUUUGGGGUGCUUGGGGCAGGGUGGUAACAUGACUGUAUUAUCAGAACCAUCUGCAUCGGCCUCCUCAUGAAAUCAUUCCACAGAAAUUAAGAAAUCGCCUUUGUUUUGUGCCUUUUUUUUUUUAAUUGCAAAGUAAAACACAGAUUCUGGGCUACAACAGUUGAAUAAGAGCAGGGUGGGAGCAAGGGAAAUUCACAGAAUUGGGCUCUUACUCUAUUUGCUGCCUGUUUCAUCAGCUUUGGCUUAUGCUAUAAUAUCAGGGGGUCUCCUCAGUGGACUGCCUACAAAGGGGAAGUUUUAACAUUUGUGCUGGGAUAACUCUUAAAUGGAAACAUCACCAUAGCAUGGCCUGAGGACAUUUCUAUUCCUGUGUUAAGAGCACUUCUGCUCAGAUCAGGAUCAACCCUUAUCAAAGUAGUGCAAGCGCAGGUCCUUAUAUCUUGGCUGGAGUCUCUUGGUGAGGAAUGAACUGGUUUAACUGGAGUUUUUUCCAUUCACACCCAAUCUUCCAGCAUAGUUUUUUGUGUAGAAACUUCCCUCUGGGUUUGAAAAGUACCUGGGGAAAGUCAUGUUUGGGAGGAAGAUGCUUUAGGUGACAGAAACAUGAAGCCUCAACAGAGCCUUAUUUACCAGCUUUGCAGAAAUGGCAUUAUGAGACUCAUCCCCAUGAAAGACAUGUUUGAAUUAAUAUCUCCAGAAUAAACUCACCUUGUUCAGGCUUAACCCAUGCUUCCUUCCUGUUCUUGCCUCUGUUGCGCGCAGGAGUAUUUUUAACCUGCUGCUUCAGAGGCAUCCUGCACGCAUGCUUUCCUAGCCUCCUCCUGCCCUUCCUGCCUUGCUGCCCCGUUCCCCUGAGCUGCACAGUACCAGUGACCAUUCAUCUUGCAACAGGCAUCUCCCCCUGUUUUCCAUGUUCUGCACUGCCCUCCAGUUUGGGCACUCAGUUUUCCCAUGCUCAGUCACAGCUUUGGCUUGUCAAAGGUCAAGGUUAGCUCACUGCAGAUUUCUGACCUGCUCCAGAUCAGCAUUGUUUGCAGAUCCAGUGCACGAGCCCUAACACUGGUUUUACACCAGCAGUUGAGCUCAGCCUCAGGAGAGGGCCAGGGUUUGGGGCUUGGUUAUGGGCCCUGCUGUAUGUACUUCUAAUUUAUCACAGAGUGUCACUUCACUGCCACAGUGACAUGCAAGAGUCAUGUCAUAGCCAUGCAGAGAGGCAGUAAUGAUGCUUGCCUUGCAAUAUGCUGCAGAACAUUGCAUGUUCACACAAAUCUCAGUUUGAGACCGUUACCUCUCAUUGUAAUAUUUGCUUAAAGAGUUGGUCCUCAUUGCAAAGAGGGUUAAGCUACUGCCCACACUUUUGAACGGUUAGCUGUGGUGAUGCUUUUUACUCAAGUGGGAUGGGUCCUAUGGGUGCUUCCCACUCUCUCUAGUUCCUCUCCUUUCUGGGGAAGCGUUCAGCAAGAAAUAGAUGCCUACCCCGCCAGGUCCCUUCUCCACAGAUUUGGUUUUUGUUGCUUUUUAUGAGUAGGAAAAGUGAACCUAGCAUAGCUGUGGUGAGCGUGUGGUUAAAAGAAGUAUCCAUUGUAUUUUUCUAAAGACAUCAGCUGCUUCAUCUUCUCUGGAAGGUUGUUAUGCAUCUCCUAGCUGGGGUAUACUUAUGUCCCCCAUCACUCACCCUGCUACCCCUCUGCCUAUGACAGUCACUCCCUGUUUUACCAAGUAGAAAACCCAAAGCAGAGUCGAUCAUCUCUUAAGUAAACCUGACCCACCUCUGAGAUUUACUUACACUAGUGUAAGUCAGGACUCGCUGGACUGAAGUCAACUGAGUUCUGCUGAUGGAAAACAGGCAUGUGAGGAACGUCUCAGUCCCCAGUGCUGCCUAGCGCCUGGCGAGGAAUAACUAAACAGAAUUUGGCCCUAAGAAGUGCUAGUCCUCAGAUGCUCCCCUUCUCCCAGCCCAGCUGAGCUCCAGCCUGACUUAGGACGUUUUUAAACUUUCUACCCACUUCCACAAGUGCUUCCCCCCCCCCCCCCCACCUCCUCUGCAUUUCAGGACAGAGACAUUUUCUGUUCAGUCCACUUGGAUAUAAACAGCACAAAGGAAGCAAUAAGGAAACUCCUCCCUAUCCCUUGCUCUAACCACUUCAGACAUGCUGCCAGCUUGCUGCAGGGUACAAAUUAUCACAAAUUCAGGGAGCUUUCUUACCUGGAGAGGCUUCAGCUCUGGUGCAUCAGCAACUGUCAGGGAGCAGAUGCAUAUUUCUAUGCAGUAGCCAUGCUGCAAAUUACAGCUGCUCCAAAGUGCCUGUCCAUGCAUUUGCUUUUAGUCGCCUGCCUCUUCACAAGUCAGGUAGGUUGGUUAUCUAUGAAAGUGGGAGAGAGAGGGUGAACACACAGAGGAAAUCGGGCAGUUUCCUGUUUGUUUAUCAUGAACAAAAGCUUGUUUGGCUGGUCUGAAUGUUGCUAGCCCAGCUGCUGUGGGUAGUGCAAAGCUGAGCUCUUCCUCUUAGCAUGAAAGGAAGGAGAAGCAGCAAGGCAAAGUCUCCCCGGGAAGAAGAAGAAAGAAAAAGAAAAAGAAAAAAAAAAAGAGUGGUGGGCAGGGAGUUUUCACCUCAGCUGGUAGAGCUUUGAUGUGUGAAAGUGGCAACUAACUGCUGCUCUUUGGUCUUCUGGCAGCUCUUUACAGCAGAGAGGGCUGCAAUCAGCCUCAUAUGGGGGGCCCUGCAGCAGCAGCCCUAGUAGGUCUCAUGUUGCCCAUUAUCAUCAGAUCUUGCUGAAAACCUGGUCCCUGUAGCCUAGUACUUGAGCUGUAUUCAGAGAAAUACAAGUGAUGAAUCAAUGUUGCUAUCACUGUAAUGACUCUGGGGCCAGGGCUUGAGAUUAAAAUACUGCCAAGCUUUUACCUGCACCAGGCCUCCUGGAUUUAUACUAUUGAGGGUCUGGACCCGAGAACUCAAAUGUUAUUAUUUGUAACAUUACAAGCUUGGCUUGUAAUGCCAAGCUAAAGCAACUUGUGCCUCUGAAAUCAUACCUGGAUGUUUGUGGUGUUUACCCCAACACGCUUUGAAUUAAUACUAAACCAGGAACGGCCUUUGCGGGCUGAGAAAGGGGCAAGGGAGGAAUGCUCAAAGCGCUGCCUUUGGGAAGAAAUGCACUGCAAAGCAAAGCUGCCCUAGGACCAGAGUUAAAGGCAGAGACAGGCAUUUGUGUCCUUCAGUGUACUACCUUCGUCUAGAGGGGUUAAAACCCGGAGCUGGGAGUGGAGGGACUCCUCAAAGAGUCCAGCGGGCAUCACAGAUUUACCAGGACAGCCUACUAACUAAGGGACUGAACUUUUGUACCUGCCUUCCCGAGCCCUUGUCCGUGCGGUGCUGUCAGACCGGUGUCAUGCCAGACUGUGCUUUUUCUUCCUUGCUCAGGAAGGACUGUGUGCUUUUGUGUUUGUCCUUGUCCACUCCUUGUGUCCUCUGCCAAGGGUAGGGUGACCUCCAUGCUCACCUGUCCCCACAGGGAGCCUGAGGGACACCCUUUGGUCCCCAUCACCCUCCCUGGCAGCAGAGAGCAGAAUUGCUGCUGCCAUCUGGUGGGAGAGCAGCCUGGGCUGCCAGCCUCACCUGCUCUUCGAUUUGUAUUCCUUUUGCCCUCUGAAAAAGGUGUUGGUCUCUUCCCAGAUGUUCUUUUUAGCUAAGGUGGCCAGUUGUGGUUAACAGCAAAGCUAUAGCCUCCAUCAAUUACCCGCAAAACAACCCAUGCCCCAAGACUGAUGCUAAAUUUAACGAUAUCUGUUGGAAAACAGAAACAUCAGGAGUGCCUGUUGUGAUGCUGGUGCAAGUCGGUGUCCAUAGCUUUGGGGAUGGAAAGCCUCAUAGAAGGGCAUUUAUUUCUGACUAUUGAACACUCAGGCAGAGAUCUGGGGCGAAGCCUUUUGAGUAACUUUUUAGGCCCUUUUAGCUGGGUUGCCUAAAGAAGGGCAUGCUUCCUCCAGCCUGCUAACAUAUCCUAGCCUUACUGGGAAAGCAGUGGCUUUAUGCACCAUGCUGUGCCUGUCCUUCCUCCAGAGGAAGCCAAUUUCAAACUAAUCGAUGGGGGAGUCAAAUAUACUGAGUUCAAAGCGUUUUGGCCAAGAGGUGGCCAAAAUGAGGAAGAAUUGACCACGGAAAGCAUUCCCCCUCCCCAAAGCAAAAGUUUUAGCGUGGCUGUGAUCCCCGCUAAACAUCAGAAAGCGCACACGGCAAAGAAUUGUUAUUAUUUGCCUAACUGCAGAAAAUGCUUCAAUCAGAGCUUGUGUCAUUUUAGACAGCGGGAAUCCAGGCUCAAGAACCAAACCACAGGCCCACUGGCUUUUCUGUUCACAGAAACUAACCCAAAGUUUCUUUACCUCCCUUCAAAUAGUAUCAUCCAACUAGUUCCCACCUGUGAGCAUGGCUUACCUUGAGCUGAGGUGUGCCUCUGUCUCACUGGAAAGAUGUGGCACACGGUGCUCAUGGAGUACUCCAUCCUCAUGGCCAGUGCUUGCUCCAUCAGGCACAGUCACAAGACAGCGCCUCUCUUAUUCUUUAGGGUAAGGCGAAGUGGGAGAUCUGCUGUUUUUGGACCAUCUGCCUAGCAGCUCUGAGCAUGAGAACCCCACUGAUCAGGCAGCACUUGCAAUAGCUGUGCCCUGCAGCUGGGAGCUGGUCCUGGCUAGGCCAGCAGAGCAGGAGAUGGUCUCAGGACUCUGAGUGGAUCAAGUGGCUUAUGCAGGCUGUCUGGCAGGGCAGACUUAAGCCCCACACUAACAAAAUGCCUCUUUGCCCUUAGUAUAAACCACGUGCCUUGACCUUCUGUCUUGUCUCCUCACCCCCAGGUGGGGGCUCUUUCAUGAAAAAGUUUUUGUUCCUGGAUUAUUAAGAGCAACAAGGUUGGAAAAAUGCCAAACAGGGAGGGUGGGAACAUCUUAUUUGUUAGAGCAGCAAGAGCGGCCUGCCUUCCUGUUACCCAAGCCUGAAGCUCUUUCUAUUGCCCUGACAAGUACAGCACUGAGAGCAAGAGCUCACACCCUGCCAACACCUUCCAAAUGCUGUGAGAGGAGGGCCAGCGUUCUGGGAAGCAGAGAGAGUUCAACCUUUGGCUCUCUUCAGUCCAACUUUGGCCAGGGAUGCCAGGGAGGCUGAUCCUUGGCUAUGCAAUCUUGACUGUUGGUUUUUUUUGUUUGUUUGUUUGUUUUUUUAAAACCAAGGAGUCAGACAGCACCUGACACGGUUGGUAGAGGAUGCCCGGUACUGGCAGUGUUUACUCACUGCUGCACAGCUCUCAGAGCAGCGGCUAUCCAGCAAGUGAAAGGCUCUGUGUUUCCUCACCCAGUAUUGCUGUGUAGCCCACACAAAAUCAGGUCCUGAUUUUAAGGUCACUGCUCCCCAUCUGGAUACAGAUGGGUAGAGGGUCCACACGGUCUACAAGGCUGAAGGGCAGCUAUAAACACAGUAUAAAAAACAAGUUCAGCUAGCAUGUACCGAGACAGCUACAGCUUCAAGAGCAGCUUUGAAGUUUGAUGAGUUCACGGCAGCUUUAGGCAUUAAGUGAGGCAGAGCGAGGGUAACGGAGCAGUUAACAGCCAGGGAACAUUUGUGAAAAGAAUUACACCCAAAAGCAAAGGAAAUGGUGAUUAAUCAGACCCAGGGGCCACCGUUAGAGCCUUCAGACACCUUCUCCAGAGAGGCUAACAGCAAAAGCAGCAGGAAACACUCCACACUCCACUGAAAACACAAAACUGGAGGCAGAAGUAAUGCAGAGCCACAGAAGCUGAGAAGGGAUUUUAAACCCACUGUUUUGAGCCCAACACCUGGCGCAUGAAACUCAGCAGGGAAAUGCAGGAAACACUAAAGGGCUUUAAAAGGAACCUCGGGAGAAAAGUGGAAGCUUCCUUAAGACAGUGUCUGAAGCAGUAAACUAGAAGAAUAAAGAACAAGAGCCCUGUAGAAAGAAGAGGUCUGGAAGUUAUUUGCGAGUUAUAGGCCUGACUGCUCAGCUGCUUAAAAUACUUUGCAAGCUCAGACACCUCAUCAUUGCAAGCAUAUACCCUGCCCAGCAAAAAAAGCAGGCAAGUCUUUCCUCUCCAUUUUGCCAGAGGGUAGGACAACAACCCAAAGCGGCCGUGUGAUGACAAAAUGAGCCCUCUACUUACAGAAAUCUUCCCAGUGGUUCAACAUCCUCAGGGUAGUGAUCACAUCCACCUGAAGCUGCAUUGCUUAGGGACAGCAGACACUAUAUGAGCAUCUUAUUUGCAGGAUGGGGGUAAUGGCGUGCCAGGCAAGUACAGGGCCUUCUGACAGCCAGUGAUAGGUUUGAAGUUCACGGCAGGCAGCGUCUGGUAGAACCCACUGCUUUUUUGAUGCAACAGCACGCUGUUGGAAAUAAAACAGCGGCCCUGGAAAACAUAUGUAUGUGCAGUAAACAACAGCUCAAACUGCACGGGGAAAGAAAGGAAAGGCCCUCUGGCUUUAAAAGUGCCUACUGAGUGUAUUUGUGGAGGUAAAGGAAGCCAAAGAGGACUUGAGAAGUGAAGGGGCCGAGCCAAUGCUCCCAGGCACGUCAUCUGAAGAUCAGAAAUAAAAACCUGUUCAGCCUCAGAGUUCUCUUUGUUCUGAAGGGAGUGCAACAUAUUCACAACCUGAUUUGAGUUCCAGCAAACAUGAAGGAACCAAGAUUUAGCUCCAGUAUGGAGGCGUGGUCCAUUUGUAGGGACGCUCUUAUAUGAGGUUGGAGUAGAAACUGCAGAGAACGGGGCCUCCUCCAUGCCCAGCAGCUCAAACGUGCUAUAUCUAUAUAUCGUGUAUAUAUAUAUAUACAUAUAUAUAUAUACAUAUAUAUGUAUGUAUUUACAUAUAAACUCAGGGUAGCCAUGUUCUAGGCUUUACAGCUCUUUCUUAUUUAAAUAUAGAAGUAACAGGAGUAGAACAGAGGGACUUGCCUGGGCCUGGUUGGGAGCAGAAUCCAGCUAGAGGCUCAUGUCUUGGAUCCUGAGGUCUGUCCAGGCAACAGCCUACCUUCUCUCAUUGAGCAAUUCUGCUUGUGCCUGUGCGGCGGGAACCGUGGAAGAGAAAUCUCACAACCACCUCAAGGUAUUCUUAGCCUUACGUUGUCACAAGUGAAGAAUUCAGCCUGAGACGAUUAUAUUUCAAGGUUUAAGUUAUUCGGAUUGAGACUAUUUGCUUGUGCUAAGUGACUUUUAUCCAAAUAACGUAGCACAAGCAUGAGGUGUCUUGCUCCACUGACCCAACCUUCUCUUUUCUGAGGUAUCAAAAAACACACGGUUAGGCUUGGGACCAUGGCAUUUAUUGAAGGCUAGUUAUACAAUCUCACCCAUCACAUCCUCCUUGUAAUUCAGAUUCCCUAAAUAAAAAGAACACUGAUGUAACAGAGAAUUAUGCCCACCUCAGACUGCCUGAGCCACAGAGCACUGAGUCAGCCCCUCGUUGUGCGAGGCACCAUUUGGAAUAGACCAGCUGCUACGUUUUCUGACCUUGGUGAAAAAACUAUGGUUGCA